GCCUUUGUAACUCAGAAGGUAGAGUAGUUUCCUUCUAAGAAACAAGUCGAGGGUUCGAAUCCCUCCAAAAGCU
rnacentral:tRNA from 1 species